CAAGCGGUCGGAGCCGCGUAAGCGGUGACGGCGUGCCUUUUGCAUAAUGAACCUACGAGUUACCAUGUCUGGCAAGGAUAAGCGUCAUGAGACGCGCAUCCGCAGUGAAAGCGAGCCUGAACAGGGCGUCGAGUCAGAUGGGGUAGACGCGAAACCAAGUGAUCUACACUUGCCCAGGUUGAAGUCCGGGUAACACCGGAUGGAGGACCGCACGGAUAAGCGUUGAAAAGCUUCCCGAUGAGGUGAGUGUAGGAGUGAAAGGCCAAUCAAACUUGGAGAUAGCUCGUACUCCCCGAAAGGCAUUUAGGUGCCGCGUGCGGCGAUCUCCGUGAGAGGUAGAGCGACCGAUAGGUCAAGAGGGCUUCACCGCCUAUCAAGUCCUGACGAACUCCGAAUGCUUAAGGUUUGCAGUUGUGCAGUAAGGGGGCGGGUGCUAAGGUCCGUUCCCGAGAGGAGAAGAAUCCAGACCGCCGUCUAAGGUCCCGGAGUUCUGCCUGAGUUAGUCUAACGAAGUCUGGUCCCCGCGACAGCCAGGAUGUUGGCUUGGAAGCAGCCAUUCAUUUAAAGAGUGCGUAACAGCUCACUGGUCGAGGGUCCGGGCAUGGAUAAUAAUCGGGUAUAAGUCAGAUACCGAAGGCGCGGGAUAGUAAUGUAUAUUAAAAGUAUCGGUAGGGGAGCAUUCCAUCGGCGUUGAAUGGUGAGGGUAACCGAUCCUGGAGCUUAUGGAAAAGCAAAUGUAGGUAUAAGUAACGAUAAAAAGGGUGAGAUUCCCUUUCGCCGAAAGACCGAGGUUUCCCGGGCGAUGCCAAUCAGCCCGGGGUUAGUCGGGUCCUAAGUCUCAGCCGAACGGCGAAGGCGAUGGCAGAUGCGGUUAAUAUUCCGCAACUCGCAUAUACAGUGAUGUGGAGACGGAGCAGUGACACUGCCGCGCCCUGACGGAAUAGGGCGUUUAAGUGCGUAGGCUAUGAGGGAGGCAGGCAAAUCCACCUUCCGAGUUGAACCAUGAAAGUACAGGUAAUCCUUCGGGAUAACUUGAGUGCAGGUAAUCAUACUUCCGAGAAAAUCCGCUAAACUUAAUGUAUGUGCGACCCGUACCGCAAACGGACACACGUGGUCGGGUAGAAUAUACUAAGGCGUUGAGAGAUUCAUGGUUAAGGAACUAGGCAAAUUGACCCCGUAACUUCGGGAUAAGGGGUCCUCAUAGCAAUAUGAGGCGCAGAGAAUAGGUCCAGGCAACUGUUUAACAAAAACACAGGGCUGUGCAAACUCGAAAGAUGACGUAUACAGCCUGACACCUGCCCGGUGCCGGAAGGUUAAGAGGAGAGCUCAGAGCUUCGGCUCGAAGGUUUGAAUUGAAGCCCCGGUAAACGGCGGCCGUAACUAUAACGGUCCUAAGGUAGCGAAAUUCCUUGUCGGGUAAGUUCCGACCUGCACGAAUGGUGUAAUGAUCCGGACGCUGUCUCAACCAUGAUCUCAGUGAAAUUGUAGUAUCGGUGAAGAUGCCGAUUACCCGCGAUGGGACGAAAAGACCCCGUGAACCUUUACUGCAGCUUAGCAUUGACCUUGGUCAUCCGAUGUGUAGGAUAGGCCGGAGGCUUCGAAGCGGGUGCGCCAGCAUUCGUGGAGCCAUCCUUGAAAUACGGCCCUUUGGCUGUCUGAGGUCUAACGCGCCUAUGGUGCGGACACUGCUUGGUGGGUAGUUUGACUGGGGUGGUCGCCUCCAAAAGCGUAACGGAGGCUUCCAAAGGUGCCCUCUGGCCGAUUGGUAACCGGCCCUUUAGAGUGCAAUGGCAUAAGGGCGCUUGACUGGGAGGCAGACAUGCCGAGCAGGCAGGAAACUGGGGCAUAGUGAUCCGGUGCAAGUGUAUGGAAACUGCAUCGCUCAAAGGAUAAAAGGUACUCCGGGGAUAACAGGCUGAUCCCCCCCAAGAGCUCAUAUCGACGGGGUGGUUUGGCACCUCGAUGUCGGCUCGUCACAUCCUGGGGCUGGAGAAGGUCCCAAG
rnacentral:rRNA from 1 species